CCCUUAGAUGUCCUGGGCCGCACGCGCGCUACACUGACAUGUUCAACAAGCCUCCUAGUUCGACAGGAUUUGGGAAAUCUUUGAACGCAUGUCGUGAUAGGGAUAGAUCAUUGCAAUUAUUGAUCUUGAACGAGGAAUUCCUAGUAAACGCGAGUCAUCAGCUCGCAUUGAUUACGUCCCUGCCCUUUGUACACACCGCCCGUCGCUCCUACCGAUUGGGUGAUCCGGUGAAUAACUCGGACUGCAGCUAUUCGGGAGACCGUUAGCUUGUGGAAAGUUUAGUAAAUCUUAUCACUUAGAGGAAGGAGAAGUCGUAACA
rnacentral:rRNA from 1 species